rnacentral:rRNA from 1 species
GACGAACGCUGGCGGCGUGCCUAAUACAUGCAAGUCGAGCGGACGAUUCGAAAGCUUGCUUUUGAAUCGUUAGCGGCGGACGGGUGAGUAACACGUGGGCAACCUGCCCUGUAGACGGGGAUAACACCGAGAAAUCGGUGCUAAUACCGGAUAACACGAAAUGUCGCAUGACGUUUCGUUGAAAGGCGGCGCAAGCUGCCGCUACAGGAUGGGCCCGCGGCGCAUUAGCUAGUUGGUGAGGUAACGGCUCACCAAGGCGACGAUGCGUAGCCGACCUGAGAGGGUGAUCGGCCACACUGGGACUGAGACACGGCCCAGACUCCUACGGGAGGCAGCAGUAGGGAAUCUUCCGCAAUGGACGAAAGUCUGACGGAGCAACGCCGCGUGAGCGAAGAAGGCCUUCGGGUCGUAAAGCUCUGUUGUCAGGGAAGAACAAGUAACGUAGUAACUGACGUUACUAUGACGGUACCUAACGAGAAAGCCACGGCUAACUACGUG